rnacentral:siRNA from 1 species
AGGACAGCUGUAUCAUGGCAUGC